rnacentral:rRNA from 1 species
ACGGAAGGCAGCAGUGGGGAAUAUUGCACAAUGGGGGAAACCCUGAUGCAGCGACGCCGCGUGAGUGAAGAAGUAUUUCGGUAUGUAAAGCUCUAUCAGCAGGGAAGAAAAUGACGGUACCUGACUAAGAAGCCCCGGCUAACUACGUGCCAGCAGCCGCGGUAAUACGUAGGGAGCAAGCGUUAUCCGGAUUUACUGGGUGUAAAGGGUGCGUAGGCGGCCUGGCAAGUUAGAAGUGAAAUUUUGGGGCUCAACCCCAGAGCUGCUUCUAAAACUACCGGGCUAGAGUGCAGGAGAGGAAAGCGGAACUCCACGUGUAGCGGUGAAAUGCGUAGAGAUGUGGAGGAACACCAGUAGCGAAGGCGGCUUUCUGGACUGUAACUGACGCUGAGGCACGAAAGCGUGGGGAGCAAACAGGAUUAGAUACCCUGGUA